rnacentral:tRNA from 1 species
AAAUUUUUAGUUUAAGAAAAAUUUUAAAUUGCAAAUUUAAAGAUAUAAAAAAUUUUAUAAAAUUUU